rnacentral:lncRNA from 1 species
UUGAGAGGAGAGAUGGGAGAGGGGAACCAUGCAUGUGCGGAGAGAAAGAAUAGAGGAAGACCACUCGGAGCCUUUUGGUUGGUUAAAGUGGAUGUGCGGAUUCCGAUAUAUUUCCCCAUUUUUGUUUGUAUUUUACCAGAAAACACACGUUAGAACCACUUCACGAACCGAUGAAAGGCUGCGUUGGACUAUAAAAGUGAACAAAAAA